UACGUAGGGGGCGAGCGUUGUCCGGAUUCAUUGGGCGUAAAGCGCUUUAAGGCGGUUCGGUAAGUCGGGUGUGAAACCUCCAGGCUCAACCUGGAGACGCCACUCGAUACUGCUGUGACUAGAGUCCGGUAGGGGACCACGGAAUUCCUGGUGUAGCGGUGAAAUGCGCAGAUAUCAGGAGGAACACCAGUGGCGAAGGCAGUGGUCUGGGCCGGAACUGACGCUGUAGAGCGAAAGCGUGGGGAGCGAACAGG
rnacentral:rRNA from 1 species